rnacentral:rRNA from 1 species
UACGAAGGGGGCUAGCGUUGCUCGGAAUUACUGGGCGUAAAGCGCACGUAGGCGGCUUCUUAAGUCGGUGGUGAAAUCCUGGAGCUCAACUCCAGAACUGCCUCGAUACUGGGAGCUCGAGUCCGGGAGAGGUGAGUGGGAACUGCGAGUGUAGAGGUGAAAUUCGUAGAUAUUCGCAAGAACACCAGUGGCGAAGGCGGCUCACUGGCCCGGUACUGACGCUGAGGUGCGAAAGCGUGGGGAGCA